rnacentral:lncRNA from 1 species
GCUGCAGCCAGAGAAAGAGGGCGACGGCCCGUCACAUUCUGAGCCCAGCAACGGAGGGCUUUCCAGGCCGGGACUGCGGGCAGAUGGGAAUUCUCCUCUCCUUUCUGCUGGACGUAUCUCGAGAGGCAACGAGGAUUGGUGCCUGGCUUUUCCUGAAAACAGAUUCCUCCCCCGCCCCCGGGACCUGUCCCACAGGGGCGUCUGGAAAUUCCACA